UCUCCUGUGCUGCUGUUCUGACUGAUGUAGCCAAGACUAAGCUUCACACUCUGAAUAAUGCAUUAAUUUCUCUGCAAGAAGUGGAAGUCUGGAGACUAAUUUUUUGUCAUUCACUACAGAAGAAUGAGUUUCCUCUUGUGGAAUAAAACCCCACAACCUGACACCGGCACAGAUGCCCAGAGCUCUGUUGUACAUUUAUACGCUGGACAAAAGGCUCUAUGGUGUUCUCUGGAGCCUGUGGACCAGAAAUGAUCGACGUGUCUGCUGAGACCUUGUGCUGCCCGAGUAACCUGUGGUGACAGCAUGCAAAUGCAUGUAUGUGAUUAUGUCAUUCAGAGAUAUCUUAAGACAGAUAGCCCACUGCAGCGAUGAAUGCAGACCAUUGUUAUGGAAAUUUGGCAUGCCAUUAGUAACAGUCUUGUGGCUUUGCAAAAAGUCCCAAAAUGUUGCGAGCACUAUGGAGGUCUAAGAAGACUUUUUGGUCCUAUUGAUGAUGACUUGGCUUGGAGUCAAAUGGAUCCAGAAUUUCAGACUAAAUUGAAGAUGUUGCCACGCUGGGUCUUUCAGCAAGUAACUCUGGUGCCCUGAAGUGCUGUUGAACGCAGAACUGAAGAGUUGAGUGUCUACAGAGAAGGUGAAGGGAGACAGCCUAGGAAGGACAGUGAAUGUGCAGAGCAAAUCAGCAGGAACUGUUGAAGAGUGGGAGACAGCAUCACGUCUUCUGGGGCUGCCGUAAAAGAGGUGAGGGCACUUCUUCACCUGGGCUGAAGAUCUACUUUGAACUUGAAGUCUUUCUGGAUGGUAACCCCCAGCAUCACCCACCGUCUUUUAGCCCCAAGAUGAGAGCCAAUCCUCAACGCCAAUCUCAGAAACUACAUUGACACUGAAGAGAUGUUGGGCCUUUGGAGAACAGGAGAAGUGGAGAUGGGGAAGUCCGACCUGGUGGAGUUUGAUUUCUCUUCCUGGCAGUUCUCUCUGGCUGGCCUGUUUGCAUCUCUAACAGUGAACUUAAAAGUGUUUCUGGUGUUUGGACUUUCAUGAAAACUUUUCCAAUAAAUACUGAGGUGAGAGAAGCACUGGAAGGCGUUGAUGGUGAUACUGUACACACUGAUGGGGAAGUCAAGGGCUCAGCAAGAAGCAGUUUACUUUGUAAGUGGUUUGUGGUUUCUUGUUGGGUAUUAAGAGUGGAAGAGUGACUGUAGAUGCUUCAGCAAUGGAUUAAAAGCUGAAGCUAUAUUUUUCUUCUGUGCGUAUCUAAAUAAAAACAGUCUCCUCAAAAAAGAUAUGCUCAA